GACCCAGAGUACUUUAAUGGUUUGAGCAUUGGACUAUGGCUCUGGAGAUCAGGGUUCAAAUCCCUGCUUGGCCA